rnacentral:lncRNA from 1 species
GAGUGUUCGACCAAACCAGAGAAGAUCCUUGUCGUGAAGAGUUCAGGGGAAACGUCACAGAGCUCUUCGCUGUUAAGUGGGAGGUCAUGAAGAGUGUGGAGCCUGGCUGCGGUGCUGAUAUGUGUGAUAGGUUGGUGGAAAGAAGACAAGCCUGUGAGAGAUGCAGCAUGGUGGUGCAUUUGAGAAAAAUGAGCCGUCUGCCCAGUGUGCUGAGCUCCCCCUAGUGCAGCAGGCAGGCAGCUUUUGGAGGCCUGGCAGAUGUCACCUGGACCAGCAUUCCCACUUCUGCACGUGUGGCCGUCAUCCCCUGCAUGGUGCAGCAUGCCGUGUCUGCUGUGUUUUGCAGUGAGCUCCCUCUCUGUCACUGACAGCACCUUUCAGCCUUGACAAAACACUUGGAAGCAUCUGCAAGCCCUUCAGCAGCAGAGGAACGGACUGACAGAUGUAAUGAGAAGGAGCAAGAUGUGCAGAUCAUGGCCUCCUAUCUGCUGAGCUGCUUCUGAGCGCAGCAAAUCCUGCUGACCACCAUCAGCCAUGGUAGCUGCUUCGCUAUCCCAGGAAUGUAGCUGGAGAAGGGAAAGACUGCAGGCAUUCCUCACCCCACCCGAGAUACAGACCUCAAAAUACAGAGGGAAGACUAGAGCUUGGAACUGGGCUAGUCCUCUUAGCUUGCUGCUGGGAGCACAAUGGUGGCAAAGUGCUGUGACAAGGGACCCUGCUCUUGAACUAAAGACGGGAACUGGGCUGACAAGACGAUUAUGGUAUUUUGGCUCAGCUGGCAAACACAUCCCUUUUGGACAGACUGGAAAUGUUACACUGAGAAGCAGUUAGUACACCGUUGUGUAAGGUUCCUAAUGGACUGGAGCCAGAAUGCUCCAUUAACCACAUACAUAUAAAAUAUUCAUUGUGCUUGGGUUCUAUUGCCAAGCUGAAGAAAGGGGGAGAAGCUUUGUGUAUAGAGAUAAAACUGUCAGUAUUGAGGGCUGAAGGAAGGAGUUGAUAACGUGUUCUAAAAUCUUUUAUUCUUUUUAAGAGGAGAAGGAUUUUGAGUCUUUG